rnacentral:rRNA from 1 species
GAUGAACGCUGGCGGCGUGCCUAACACAUGCAAGUCGAGCGAACAGACGCUGAUCUUGCGCCUCUGACGUUUGCGGCGCGCGGGUGUGAAACACGAGUAAACCCCCCCUGUCAGAGUGAGAUCUCUUCGAGACACCGGAUAUCAUCCCAGAGAAGAUAUUGAACCACGUGGUGGAAUGGUAAAAGACGGUUUUGCUGUCACUUAUCGCUGUAUCUGCGCCGCAUUAGCGAGUUGUGGGGGUAAAGGCUUACCAAGGGAGCGCUGCGUAUCCGAGCUGAGAGGGUGAUCGGCCACACUGGAACGGAGACACGGUCCAGACGCCUACGGGAGGCAGCAGUAGGGAAUCUUCCGCAAUGGGCGAAAGCUUGACGGAGUAACGCCGCGUGAGUGAUGAAGGUCUUCGGUUCGUAAAGCUCGGUUAUUAGGGAAGAACAGAUGUGUAAUUAAACAAGCACUUCGUGACGGUACCUAAUCAGAAAGCCACGGCUAACUACGUG